GGUGUCCUGAUCACUGCCCUAAGAUCAGCUACUCUGUGUCACUCAAUAUUUCAAUUCAAUUCUAAAUGAAGAAGCUGCAAAAGGGUAUGCAAGGGAACAACUUUUUUUUUUUCUUUUUAAAUUUACUUUUUCCUUUUUGUCAUUUUUCAGGACCAGGCUUCUUGGGAUCUUUUCUUUUUGUAAGGAAACCAUGAAGGUUUAACCUGGAACUGUGGCUUCACUGAGUUCAAAUGAUAGUGGGCUGAGUUCACAGGAGAAAAAUUAAGUGAUGUUUACGAAAUAGACCACUUCUGGCACAGGACAUCAGUGAGAAACAAAUGGUUGGAGGAUGGGAGAGUACACAGGUGAAGCAUUGUCUUGUCUGGAUAAUUUUGGCUAAGGGCCUGGAAAAUAAACUAAAAAGGAAAGAUUGUCUUCUCUCCUGUAAUACUUUUGGAAGAAGAAAAUGGUGUUUUUUUCAAGG